GGAAUCUUGGACAAUGGGGGCAACCCUGAUCCAGCGACGCCGCGUGGGUGAUGAAGGCCUUCGGGUUGUAAAGCCCUUUCGCCGGGGACGAUGAUGACGGUACCCGGUGAAGAAGCACCGGCUAACUCCGUGCCAGCAGCCGGGGUAAGCCGGAGGGUGCUAGCGUUGUUCGGAAUUACUGGGCGUAAAGGGCGCGUAGGCGGCCACCGCAAGUCGACUGUGAAAUCUCCGGGCUUAACCCGGAAAGGUCAGCCGAUACUGCGGGGCUAGAGUGCAGAAGGGGCAACUGGAAUUCUCGGUGUAGCGGUGAAAUGCGUAGAUAUCGAGAGGAACACCUGCGGCGAAGGCGGGUUGCUGGGCUGACACUGACGCUGAGGCGCGAAAGCUAGGGGAGCGAAC
rnacentral:rRNA from 1 species